rnacentral:rRNA from 1 species
UACGUAGGGUGCAAGCGUUAAUCGGAAUUACUGGGCGUAAAGCGUGCGCAGGCGGUUGUGCAAGGCAGAGGUGAAAUCCCCGGGCUUAACCUGGGAAUGGCCUUUGUGACUGCACGGCUAGAGUGUGUCAGAGGGGGGUAGAAUUCCACGUGUAGCAGUGAAAUGCGCAGAUAUCAGGAAGAACACCCGUGGCGAAGGCGGCUCUCUGGGACGGUACUGACGCUGAGACGCGAAAGCGUGGGGAGCGAACAGG